UACGGAGGGUGCAAACGUUGCUCGGAAUCACUGGGCGUAAAGGGCGCGUAGGCGGGAUGGCAAGUCAGUCGUGAAAUCUCUCGGCUCAACCGAGAAACGUCGGCUGAUACUGCCGUUCUUGAGGGAUGCAGAGGAGACUGGAAUUCCCGGUGUAGCGGUGAAAUGUGUAGAGAUCGGGAGGAACACCGGUGGCGAAGGCGGGUCUCUGGGCAUUUCCUGACGCUGAGGCGCGAAAGCGUGGGGAGCAAACGGG
rnacentral:rRNA from 1 species